AUUGAACGCUGGCGGCAUGCCUUACACAUGCAAGUCGAACGGCAGCAUGGAGAGCUUGCUCUCUGAUGGCGAGUGGCGAACGGGUGAGUAAUGCAUCGGAACGUACCGUGUAAUGGGGGAUAACGUAGCGAAAGUUACGCUAAUACCGCAUACGACCUGAGGGUGAAAGCAGGGGAUCGCAAGACCUCGCGUUAUACGAGCGGCCGAUGUCAGAUUAGCUAAUUGGUGAGGUAAAGGCUCACCAAGGCGACGAUCUGUAGCGGGUCUGAGAGGAUGAUCCGCCACACUGGGACUGAGACACGGCCCAGACUCCUACGGGAGGCAGCAGUGGGGAAUUUUGGACAAUGGGGGCAACCCUGAUCCAGCCAUGCCGCGUGAGUGAAGAAGGCCUUCGGGUUGUAAAGCUCUUUCGGCCGGGAAAAAAUCGCACAGGCUAAUACUCUGUGUGGAUGACGGUACCGGCAUAAGAAGCACCGGCUAACUACGUGCCAGCAGCCGCAGUAA
rnacentral:rRNA from 1 species